rnacentral:lncRNA from 1 species
CCGGGGGAAUACAUGUUAGAAGACUGGAGGUCGAGUCGGUGGAUCGAUCGACAUAUUGACAGAAGGCUUCAGGCCAUAGAUUCGAGCAUCGAGCUAAGAAGAGUGGAUAUUGCGCCAAGGAUAUUGGAGUUCCGGAGUCAAUUGGCCGAUUGGAUAAUAGGCUACAAGAGAGGACGAUGCACCGAAAAAUCAGAUGGAGUGUCGAGGGACCAAUGACAUGCCGG